AACGAACGCUGGCGGCAUGCCUAACACAUGCCAGUCGAACGAGACCUUCGGGUCUAGUGGCGCACGGGUGCGUAACGCGUGGGAACCUGCCCUUAGGUUCGGAAUAACUCCCCGAAAGGGGUGCUAAUACCGGAUAAUGUCUUCGGACCAAAGAUUUAUCGCCUUUGGAUGGGCCCGCGUUGGAUUAGCUGGUUGGUAGGGUAAAAGCCUACCAAGGCGACGAUCCAUAGCUGGUCUGAGAGGAUGAUCAGCCACACUGGGACUGAGACACGGCCCAGACUCCUACGGAAGGCAGCAGUGGGGAAUAUUGGACGAUGGACGAAAGCCUGAUCCAGCAAUGCCGCGUGAGUGAUGAAGGCCUUAGGGUUGUAAAGCUCUUUUACCCGGGAUGAUAAUGACAGUACCGGGAGAAUAAGCUCCGGCUAACUCCGUG
rnacentral:rRNA from 1 species